AUUGAACGCUGGCGGCAUGCCUUACACAUGCAAGUCGAACGACGCCAGGGGGCAACUCCUGGCGAGUGGCGAACGGGUGAGUAAUACAUCGGAACGUGUCCUGUCGUUGGGGAUAACCAGUCGAAAGACUGGCUAAUACCGCAUGAGAUCGAGAGAUGAAAGCGGGGGACCCGCAAGGGCCUCGCGCGACUCGAGCGGCCGGUGUCGGAUUAGCUAGUUGGCGGGGUAAAGGCCCACCAAGGAGACGAUCCGUAGCUGGUUUGAGAGAACGACCAGCCACACUGGGACUGAGACACGGCCCAGACGCCUACGGGAGGCAGCAGUGGGGAAUUUUGGAUAAUGGUCGCAAGCCUGAUCCAGCAAUGCCGCGUGCAGGAAGCAGGCCUUCGGGUUGUAAACUGCUUUUGUCAGGGAAGAAAUCUUCUGGGCUAAUACCCUGGGAGGAUGACGGUACCUGAAGAAUAAGCACCGGCUAACUACGUGCCAGCAGCCGCGGUAAAAC
rnacentral:rRNA from 1 species